GACGAACGCUGGCGGCGCGCUUAACACAUGCAAGUCGAGCGAUGAAAUCUUAACAGAACCCUUCGGGGUGAAGAUAAGACGGAUUAGCGGCGGACGGGUGGGUAACACGUGAGUAACCUGCCUUUUACACAGGGAUAGCCUCAGGAAACCGGGAUUAAAACCUGAUGAAACUAUCAAAUCACAUGAUUAAGAAAGUUAAAACUCCGGUGGUAAAAGAUGGACUCGCGUCCCAUUAGCUAGUUGGUGAAGGUAACGGCCCACCAAGGCAACGAUGGGUAGCCGGCCUGAGAGGGUGAACGGCCACAUUGGAACUGAGAAACGGUCCAAACUCCUACGGGAGGCUGCAGUGGGGAAUAUUGCACAAUGGGGGAAACCCUGAUGCAGCGACGCCGCGUGAGCGAAGAAGGCCUUCGGGUCGUAAAGCUCUUUUAUAUGGGAAGAUAAUGACGGUACCAUAAGAAAAAGCCCCGGCUAACUACGUG
rnacentral:rRNA from 1 species